AUACGAAGGGGGCUAGCGUUGUUCGGAUUUACUGGGCGUAAAGAGUAUGUAGGCGGAUAUUUAAGUCAGAUGUGAAAUUCCCGGGCUUAACCUGGGAGCUGCAUUUGAUACUGGGUGUCUAGAGUGUGGAAGAGGUAAGUGGAAUUCCGAGUGUAGAGGUGAAAUUCGUAGAUAUUCGGAGGAACACCAGUGGCGAAGGCGGCUUACUGGUCCAUUACUGACGCUGAGGUGCGAAAGCGUGAGGAGC
rnacentral:rRNA from 1 species